GUUUUAAUUCCAAUAAUAUUAAACCUGGAGCUGAAGAGGGACAUAGAUCUAAACCACUGUUUUUGUCCUGAUUAUUGCUUAAGACUUUUUCACUGUUUUCCUUAUCUGCUGAUUCAUGAGCAAGAUGUACAUCCUUAGCUUCGGCAUCAGCACCUAGUAAAGCAUUGCCCUCAUAUGCUUCCUUAUGCAACUUUGAUUUCAGCUCUUCUAUCAGAACUUUAGUGCUUUCAAGUUCUUUUAAGACCUCAAGUGUU
rnacentral:misc_RNA from 1 species